rnacentral:lncRNA from 1 species
CUCGCGGAAGGAAGCCCUGGCAAGGCAUAUGGCCAUAGAGAAAGAAUACCACCACCAAUCGGAUGCUUGCGAAGUAAUCGUGUGCGGCUCGUCUGACCUAACACGCUGUGCUGAGUUAGAUACUCGUGAAUAAAGCUUGUGCCCCCACCUCUCACUGCCGAAAAGCCGCGCCAUUUAGGACGCAAUGAAGCCGAGUCGCCACUACGUCUGUUGCCAAGUGCUCGGAAGGAAGCCCUGCGCCGAGUAGGAUACUCGCGAAAGAAGCGUGUGCGCCCACCUCCCACUGAACAAACGCCCUACUCCGAUUUGGAUACUCAUGAAGAAAGCGUGUGCCCCACUUUUCACUGCCGAGUCACAAAGCCGCGCCGUUCAGGAUGCAUUGAAGCCGAGUCGACUGACUACGCCUGAUACACCUAGGCCUACUGCGAAAAACGCCACACCGGGGAUUACUGCACUCCACUUGCUGGCUCAACUGCUGGGCACCCUGUAGGGACCCCCUUGUAAGCCCUGGCCUACGCCUAGCAGUGCUGGUCGGUUGCACCCUUAUGUGACGGGCCCGGCGACAUAUUGCUGCAGCGGUAGCCUUGAGUGCCAGCAUCAGUCCUGUCCCAUCGCUGCUGUUUUGAACACGAGCAAGCUCCUCUCCAAGGCCCUUCACGAUAUCAAGGCUGGCCACCAAAAACAGUGUACUAAAACCUCGGUGCUAAGGGCUUGAAUGCCACUUGGUUGUAGUGCCACCAACAGCGAGGGAAUUGCGUCGUGAUGGAAAAAGAGGAUGCGCGUGAUCACGUGCGAUGCAGCAGCAAUACUGGCGCGAGGGGGACAGAAAAUAAAGAAAACAUUGGUUGUGUGAAAA